GACGAACGCUGGCGGCGUGCUUAACACAUGCAAGUCGAACGGAAAGGCCCUGCUUGCAGGGUACUCGAGUGGCGAACGGGUGAGUAACACGUGGGUGAUCUGCCCUGCACUUCGGGAUAAGCUUGGGAAACUGGGUCUAAUACCGGAUAGGACCGCACUUUAGUGUGUGUGGUGGAAAGUUUUUUCGGUGUAGGAUGAGCUCGCGGCCUAUCAGCUUGUUGGUGGGGUAAUGGCCUACCAAGGCGGCGACGGGUAGCCGGCCUGAGAGGGUGUACGGCCACAUUGGGACUGAGAUACGGCCCAGACUCCUACGGGAGGCAGCAGUGGGGAAUAUUGCACAAUGGGCGCAAGCCUGAUGCAGCGACGCCGCGUGGGGGAUGAAGGCCUUCGGGUUGUAAACUCCUUUCGCUAGGGACGAAGCUUUUUGCGACGGUACCUAGAUAAGAAGCACCGGCUAACUACGUG
rnacentral:rRNA from 1 species